GACGCUACGGACUUUUUUAAAAUCGUGAGGGUUCAAGUCCCUCUAUCCCCACU
rnacentral:tRNA from 1 species